GCACCUGUAGCUCAGUUCGGUUAGAGCGCCGGUUUGAAAGUCCGGAGGUCGUUCGUUCAAAUCGAACCGGGUGCACCA
rnacentral:tRNA from 1 species